GACGAACGCUGGCGGCGUGCUUAACACAUGCAAGUCGAACGGAAAGGCCCUGCUUUUGUGGGGUGCUCGAGUGGCGAACGGGUGAGUAACACGUGAGUAACCUGCCCUUGACUUUGGGAUAACUUCAGGAAACUGGGGCUAAUACCGGAUAGGAGCUCCUGCUGCAUGGUGGGGGUUGGAAAGUUUCGGCGGUUGGGGAUGGACUCGCGGCUUAUCAGCUUGUUGGUGGGGUAGUGGCUUACCAAGGCUUUGACGGGUAGCCGGCCUGAGAGGGUGACCGGCCCCAAUGGGACUGGGAUACGGCCCAGACUCCUACGGGAGGCAGCAGUGGGGAAUAUUGGACCAUGGGCGGAAGCCUUAUGCAGCAACGCCGCGGGCGGGAUUACGGCCUUCGGGUUGUAAACCGCUUUCGCCUGUGACGAAGCGUGAGUGACGGUAAUGGGUAAAGAAGCACCGGCUAACUACGUG
rnacentral:rRNA from 1 species